GACGAACGCUGGCGGCGUGCCUAAUACAUGCAAGUUGAGCGCUGAAGGUUGGUACUUGUACCAACUGGAUGAGCAGCGCACGGGUGAGUAACGCGUGGGGAAUCUGCCUUUGAGCGGGGGACAACAUUUGGAAACGAAUGCUAAUACCGCAUAAAAACUUUAAACACAAGUUUUAAGUUUGAAAGAUGCAAUUGCAUCACUCAAAGAUGAUCCCGCGUUGUAUUAGCUAGUUGGUGAGGUAAGGGCUCACCAAGGCGAUGAUACAUAGCCGACCUGAGAGGGUGAUCGGCCACAUUGGGACUGAGACACGGCCCAAACUCCUACGGGAGGCAGCAGUAGGGAAUCUUCGGCAAUGGACGAAAGUCUGACCGAGCAACGCCGCGUGAGUGAAGAAGGUUUUCGGAUCGUAAAACUCUGUUGGUAGAGAAGAACGUUGGUGAGAGUGGAAAGCUCAUCAAGUGACGGUAACUACCCAGAAAGGGACGGCUAACUACGUG
rnacentral:rRNA from 1 species